rnacentral:rRNA from 1 species
AUGAACGCUGGCGGCGUGCCUAAUACAUGCCAGUCGCGCGAACAGACGAGGAGCUUGCUCCUCUGACGUUAGCGGCGGACGGGUGAGUAACACGUGGAUAACCUACCUAUAAGACUGGGAUAACUUCGGGAAACCGGAGCUAAUACCGGAUAAUAUAUUGAACCGCAUGGUUCAAUAGUGAAAGACGGUUUUGCUGUCACUUAUAGAUGGAUCCGCGCCGCAUUAGCUAGUUGGUAAGGUAACGGCUUACCAAGGCAACGAUGCGUAGCCGACCUGAGAGGGUGAUCGGCCACACUGGAACUGAGACACGGUCCAGACUCCUACGGGAGGCAGCAGUAGGGAAUCUUCCGCAAUGGGCGAAAGCCUGACGGAGCAACGCCGCGUGAGUGAUGAAGGUCUUCGGAUCGUAAAACUCUGUUAUUAGGGAAGAACAAAUGUGUAAGUAACUAUGCACGUCUUGACGGUACCUAAUCAGAAAGCCACGGCUAACUACGU